rnacentral:rRNA from 1 species
UGGGGUAGAGCCCACCAAGGCGACGAUCAGUAGCGGGUCUGCCAUAAAAGCCGCCACAUUGGGACUGAGACACGGCCCAACCUUCUACGGGAGGCAGCAGUGGGGAAUUUUGGACAAUGGGGGCAACCCUGAUCCAGCCAUGCCGCGUGUAUGAAGAAGGCCUUCGGGUUGUAAAGUACUUUUGUCGGGGAAGAAAAGGUUAGUGUUAAUACCACUGACUGAUGACGGUACCCGAAGAAUAAGCACCGGCUAACUACGUGCCAGCAGCCGAGGUAAUACGUAGGGUGCAAGCGUUAAUCGGAAUUACUGGGCGUAAAGCGGGCGCAGACGGUUACAUAAGUCAGGUGUGAAAUCCCCGAGCUCAACUUGGGAAUGGCGCUUGAAACUGUGUAGCUAGAGUGUGUCGGAGGGAGGUAGAAUUCCGCGUGUAGCAGUGAAAUGCGUAGAGAUGCGGAGGAAUACCGAUGGCGAAGGCAGCCUCCUGGGAUAACACUGACGUUCAUGCCCGAAAGCGUGGGUAGCAAACAGGAUUAGAUACCCUGGUAGUCCACGCCCUAAACGAUGACAAUUAGCUGUUGGUGUGCUUGCCACAUUAGUAGCGAAGCUAACGCGUGAAAUUGUCCGCCUGGGGAGUACGGUCGCAAAAUUAAAACUCAAAGGAAUUGACGGGGACCCGCACAAGCGGUGGAUGAUGUGGAUUAAUUCCAUGCAACGCGAAGAACCUUACCUGGUCUUGACAUGUACGGAAUCUUUCAGAGACGGAAGAG